CUCUUAUCAAGAGUGGUGGAGGGACAAAGGCCCAAUGAAACCCAGCAACCGGCUAUUAAAAGCAAUGGUGCCAAUUCCUGCAGGAUUUUCUGCAAGAUAAGAA
rfam:Clostridium sulfidigenes strain 113A c2, whole genome shotgun sequence.